AUCCUCAUCACACGUAGAGAGAGAGAGAGAGGAGAGAACCGUUCGGUGAGAAGAAGAAGAAGAAGAAAAUCUUGGAGAUUUCUUCCUAGACUUGGAUUGAAGCCUAAUUUGGAGGUUCGGGGGACACGUGGCUACGAGGUGAGUGAUUAAUACCCAAAACACAUGGUUUGUUAUAAGCUUUACGCUUCAAUGAUGUUUUAUAAUUUGAUAUGAACUCCAUGGAAUAUCAAUGGAAGGUGGACAUGUUUUAUAUCUAUUAAUGGCAUCCUCCCACGUCCCAGCUUGCUAGGGGACACGUGCUAAAAGGCUAGCAAGGCAUGGCUAUUAUUUCGGAUAACGAAAGACGUCUUAACUUAUCCACUACCGGGGACGCCUGGUAGACAUGAAAUGAAUAGAGGAUGUGCAUUACUAUGUUAUGUUGCUAUGAGAAAUGAUUCAUUUUUUUUAAAUGGUUUUAUCAUUGUCCAUGGAAAGCAUGUGAAUUGCGUAUUAAUCAUUCAUACGAGCUUUGGCUUAUGAAUUUUCCCACCUUUCAGGCAACGAGACGUAGAGUGGUGGCGUGCAACUCUUCUUUUGGUCGCUCUAAGUAGAUGUUGGCUUGUAGAUAGGGAGUUGUUUUUGGUGAGCAUUUUUGUAUGUAAAUAUGCACAGCUCUGGGUGGUUUGCAAUGUAGAGAUCCUUGUAAAGACUUUUGGUUUGGCAUAUGUAAUAAAAUAGAAUUUGCUUC